GGUAGCGUGGCCUAAGGUGCUGGAUUAAGGCUCCAGUCUUGUCGGUGGUGUGGGUUUGAAUCCCACCGCUGCCA